GACGAACGCUGGCGGCGUGCCUAACACAUGCAAGUCGAGCGAGGAAUGAUUGGUAGCUUGCUACCGGUUAUUUCUAGCGGCGGACGGGUGAGUAACGCGUGAGCAACCUGCCUUUAUCAGGGGGAUAACGCAUCGAAAGAUGUGCUAAUACCGUGUAAGACCACAGCUUCACAUGGAGCAGAGGUCAAAGGAGCAAUCCGGAUAAAGAUGGGCUCGCGUCCGAUUAGCUAGUUGGUGAGAUAACAGCCCACCAAGGCGACGAUCGGUAGCCGACCUGAGAGGGUGAUCGGCCACAUUGGAACUGAGAUACGGUCCAGACUCCUACGGGAGGCAGCAGUGGGGAAUAUUGGGCAAUGGGCGAAAGCCUGACCCAGCAACGCCGCGUGAGGGAAGAAGGGUUUCGGCUCGUAAACCUCUGUCCUAUGGG
rnacentral:rRNA from 1 species